GGAUAUAGCUCACUUGAUAGAGUACUUGCUUCACAUGCACAAGGCCCUGGGUUCAAUCCCCAGCACCA
rnacentral:tRNA from 1 species